rnacentral:misc_RNA from 1 species
UACAGAGACUGCAAGCGUUAUUCGGAUACACUGGGCGUAAAGGGUGCGCAGGCGGUUGUGUGUGUUAGGUGUGAAAUCUCGGAGCUUAACUCCGAAACUGCGCCUAAAACUACAUGACUAGAGCAUUGGAGAGGGUAGCGGAAUUCACGGUGUAGCAGUGAAAUGCGUAGAUAUCGUGAGGAACACCAGAAGCGAAGGCGGCUACCUGGACAAUUGCUGACGCUCAGGCACGAAAGCGUGGGGAGCAAAAGGG